CAGGCCUAACACAUGCAAGUCGAGCGGCAGUGGGAAGAAGCUUGCUUCUUUGCCGGCGAGCGGCGGACGGGUGAGUAAUGUCUGGGGAUCUGCCCGAUGGAGGGGGAUAACUACUGGAAACGGUAGCUAAUACCGCAUAACGUCGCAAGACCAAAGUGGGGGACCUUCGGGCCUCACACCAUCGGAUGAACCCAGAUGGGAUUAGCUAGUAGGUGGGGUAAUGGCUCACCUAGGCGACGAUCCCUAGCUGGUCUGAGAGGAUGACCAGCCACACUGGAACUGAGACACGGUCCAGACUCCUACGGGAGGCAGCAGUGGGGAAUAUUGCACAAUGGGGGAAACCCUGAUGCAGCCAUGCCGCGUGUGUGAAGAAGGCCUUCGGGUUGUAAAGCACUUUCAGCGGGGAGGAAGGCGAUGGCGUAAAUAGCGCCAUCGAUUGACGUUACCCGCAGAAGAAGCACCGGCUAACUCCGCGCCAGCAGCCGCGGUAAUACGGAGGGUGCGAGCGUUAAUCGGAAUUACUGGGCGUAAAGCGUACGUAGGCGGUCUGUUAAGUCAGAUGUGAAAUCCCCGGGCUCAACCUGGGAACUGCAUUUGAAACUGGCAGGCUAGAGUCUCGUAGAGGGGGGUAGAAUUCCAGGUGUAGCGGUGAAAUGCGUAGAGAUCUGGAGGAAUACCGGUGGCGAAGGCGGCCCCCUGGACGAAGACUGACGCUCAGGUACGAAAGCGUGGGGAGCAAACAGGAUUAGAUACCCUGGUAGUCCACGCUGUAAACGAUGUCGAUUUGAAGGUUGUGGCCUUGAGCCGUGGCUUUCGGAGCUAACGCGUUAAAUCGACCGCCUGGGGAGUACGGCCGCAAGGUUAAAACUCAAAGGAAUUGACGG
rnacentral:rRNA from 1 species